rnacentral:pre_miRNA from 1 species
UCUUACAGAUGAGCAAAGAAAGUGGUUUCUUGAGCUGGAAUCUACCCCUGGUGAAGAUGCUGUGAA